rnacentral:piRNA from 1 species
UCCGAGAGGACAUAUUGAGUGGUGGAGAC